UACAAACUUAUUUAAAUUGCCACGUACGUUGUCAUGUUAUUGGGUUACGACGGUGAAGCUUAUUUUACGACGUAACAACAAUUUAUAUGUGGUUAAUUUUCUAUCGGGUAUUAUAGUGGGCCCCUAAUUCGUGUGAGCCCCCCCCCCCCCGCGGCUGCGGGGUUUGCGGGAUCGAUGAUACGCCACUGCUGCAUUCUAUGCGCACACUUGCCGAUUUCCAGCUCGCUGGUUAUUGGCUAGUAAAGCACGGGCGCCAUAUAGCGACGUUAAAAAACUGAGCUUAAAUAGUGACUUUUCCGAUUUAAGCAUAUUUUGUAAAUAAAAUACUACAAUAACUAAAGGGAGUUGUGGUACUGGAUAAGCAAAAGAUGGAUUAAUUGAAAACAUUUAACUGGAGGCGACACCAAAAUACAAUGUCUACCAAAAAUUUAUGGCAUAAAGUAUUUCAUACCAAAACUUAAUUACCUGUGGGCCAGAGGUUAACUUGGUGAACAUUUCUAUUCCAUCUUCAACCCAGUCUUUUAUAUUGCCCACAUAGUUUGCGGAACUUGAUGCAUAUGUCCCACUGUAAUCAAACCUGAGGAAUGGUUGGCUAGAAUCUCUGUUGGAAUUGCAGAGAAAGAUCUUCUGGUCUUGACAUUCGGUGUUCCCCACAUUUUCGCAGAGUCAAAUCAAUUGUUGUCGUGUCAUAAAAACGAUCUCGCACCACAGAAAGUGUUUCAUUCCAAGGGACAACAUCAUCUUUCAUGCCUUGUAGGAUGUGAAGAUUGCAGG